ensembl:snRNA U5 U5 spliceosomal RNA
AUGCACUGGUUUCUCUUCAUAACAAAUAAAUGUUCAACCUUUUACUAAAGAUUUCCAUGGAGAGGAGCAAUUAUGAGUUUAUAGCCAAAUUUUUUAAUGUCCUGCUUAGGCAGGGCU